GAGUUUGAUCAUGGCUCAGAUUGAACGCUGGCGGCAGGCCUAACACAUGCAAGUCGAACGGUAACAGGAAGAAGCUUGCUUCUUUGCUGACGAGUGGCGGACGGGUGAGUAAUGUCUGGGAAACUGCCUGAUGGAGGGGGAUAACUACUGGAAACGGUAGCUAAUACCGCAUAACGUCGCAAGACCAAAGAGGGGGACCUUCGGGCCUCUUGCCAUCGGAUGUGCCCAGAUGGGAUUAGCUAGUAGGUGGGGUAACGGCUCACCUAGGCGACGAUCCCUAGCUGGUCUGAGAGGAUGACCAGCCACACUGGAACUGAGACACGGUCCAGACUCCUACGGGAGGCAGCAGUGGGGAAUAUUGCACAAUGGGCGCAAGCCUGAUGCAGCCAUGCCGCGUGUAUGAAGAAGGCCUUCGGGUUGUAAAGUACUUUCAGCGGGGAGGAAGGGAGUAAAGUUAAUACCUUUGCUCAUUGACGUUACCCGCAGAAGAAGCACCGGCUAACUCCGUGCCAGCAGCCGCGGUAACACGGAGGGUGCAAGCGUUAAUCGGAAUUACUGGGCGUAAAGCGCACGCAGGCGGUUUGUUAAGUCAAAUGUGAAAUCCCCGGGCUCAACCUGGGAACUGCAUCUGAUACUGGCAAGCUUGAGUCUCGUAGAGGGGGGUAGAAUUCCAGGUGUAGCGGUGAAAUGCGUAGAGAUCUGGAGGAAUACCGGUGGCGAAGGCGGCCCCCUGGACGAAGACUGACGCUCAGGUGCGAAAGCGUGGGGAGCAAACAGGAUUAGAUACCCUGGUAGUCCACGCCGUAAACGAUGUCGACUUGGAGGUUGUGCCCUUGAGGCGUGGCUUCCGGAGCUAACGCGUUAAGUCGACCGCCUGGGAAGUACGGCCGCAAGGUUAAAACUCAAAUGAAUUGACGGGGGCCCGCACAAGCGGUGGAGCAUGUGGUUUAAUUCGAUGCAACGCGAAGAACCUUACCUGGUCUUGACAUCCACGGAAGUUUUCAGAGAUGAGAAUGUGCCUUCGGGAACCGUGAGACAGGUGCUGCAUGGCUGUCGUCAGCUCGUGUUGUGAAAUGUUGGGUUAAGUCCCGCAACGAGCGCAACCCUUAUCCUUUGUUGCCAGCGGUCCGGCCGGGAACUCAAAGGAGACUGCCAGUGAUAAACUGGAGGAAGGUGGGGAUGACGUCAAGUCAUCAUGGCCCUUACGACCAGGGCUACACACGUGCUGCAAUGGCGCAUACAAAGAGAAGCGACCUCGCGAGAGCAAGCGGACCUCAUAAAGUGCGUCGUAGUCCGGAUUGGAGUCUGCAACUCGACUCCAUGAAGUCGGAAUCGCUAGUAAUCGUGGAUCAGAAUGCCACGGUGAAUACGUUCCCGGGCCUUGUACACACCGCCCGUCACACCAUGGGAGUGGGUUGCAAAAGAAGUAGGUAGCUUAACCUUCGGGAGGGCGCUUACCACUUUGUGAUUCAUGACUGGGGUGAAGUCGUAACAAGGUAACC
rnacentral:rRNA from 1 species